GCUGGGCACUGUGGCACUUGCCUGUAGUCCCAGCUACUUGGGAGACUGAGGUGGGAGGAUCACUUGAGCCCAGGAGUUCUAGGCUGUAGUACGCUGUGCCGAUCGGGUGUCUGCACUAAGCACAGUAUCCAUAUGGUGACCUCCCGGGAGCAGGGGACCACCAGGUUGCCUAAGGAGGGGUGAACCCAUCCAGGUUGGAAAUGGAGCAGGUCAAAACUCCAGUGCUGAUCAGUAGUGGGAUCACGCCUGUGAAUAGCCAUUGCCCUCCAGCCUGGGCAAGAUAGCGAGACACCGUCUCU
rnacentral:SRP_RNA from 1 species